AUUGAACGCUGGCGGCAGGCUUAACACAUGCAAGUCGAGCGGGGUGAUGGUGCUUGCACUAUCACUUAGCGGCGGACGGGUGAGUAAUGCUUAGGAAUCUGCCUAUUAGUGGGGGACAACAUCUCGAAAGGGAUGCUAAUACCGCAUACGUCCUACGGGAGAAAGCAGGGGAUCACUUGUGACCUUGCGCUAAUAGAUGAGCCUAAGUCGGAUUAGCUAGUUGGUGGGGUAAAGGCCUACCAAGGCGACGAUCUGUAGCGGGUCUGAGAGGAUGGUCCACCAAACUGGGACUGAGACACGGCCCAGACUCCUACGGGAGGAAGCAGUGGGGAAUAUUGGACAAUGGGGGGAACCCUGGUCCAGCCAUGCCGCGUGUGUGAAGAAGGCCUAUGGUUGUAAAGCACGUUAAGCGAGGAGGAGGCUCUUUUGGUUAAUACCCAAGAUGAGUGGACGUUACUCGCAGAAUAAGCACCGGCUAACUCUGUGCCAGCCGCCGCGGUAA
rnacentral:rRNA from 1 species